UGGCAACAGCACGGACCGAACCCCUCAACGAUUCCACAGCCACGCGGAACGUGAUCGGCAGAGACGAUUUGAACGAGUCAAGGCGACACGCAUUAAGAGGAAACGACGGUACCUUCAGGCAAAGGUCGCAGCCCAACGGAAAAGCGAAUUGCUCCUCCAGAUUGUUGUCCAGGUCAAGCAGAUCGCCAUCGACGGUAGGACGAACGAUUGCCACCCAGAAGAGCCUCCACUAGGAGGCUUUUGUUUUGGACUUGAAUUCGUCGGGUACGUCCAACCUGAGACGGUAGUCUGUGCAGGCAGCAUUUCACCGUGUGGUCAGAGGUGGAUUCGGGCACGAUCUGCGAGGUGGUCUAGCUGUAGGCCAGUUUCUCCUCAGGAAUUCCCACCGGGAUCCAGGAGCAGGCACUCUGGUGCACCUUUGUAACCGCUCGCCGGAUGGUACAGUGGA